rnacentral:rRNA from 1 species
GAGCGCGAAAGUUCUUCGGAAUGAGUAAAGCGGCGGACGGGUGAGUAACGCGUGGGAAUCUGCCUGGUAGUGGGGGACAACAGUCGGAAACGACUGCUAAUACCGCAUACGCCCUACGGGGGAAAGGGGGGGAUCUUCGGACCUCUCGCUAUCAGAUGAGCCCGCGUCGGAUUAGCUUGUUGGUGAGGUAAAGGCUCACCAAGGCGACGAUCCGUAACUGGUCUGAGAGGAUGAUCAGUCACACUGGAACUGAGACACGGUCCAGACUCCUACGGGAGGCAGCAGUGGGGAAUAUUGGACAAUGGGGGCAACCCUGAUCCAGCCAUGCCGCGUGUGUGAAGAAGGCCUUCGGGUUGUAAAGCACUUUCAGUGGGGAGAAAGGUGGUUUGGUUAAUAACCGAAUCAAUUGGUGUUACCCACAGAAGAAGCACCGGCUAACUCCGUGCCAGCAGCCGCGGUAAUACGGAGGGUGCAAGCGUUAAUCGGAAUUACUGGGCGUAAAGCGUACGUAGGUGGUUUGUUAAGCCAGCUGUGAAAUCCCCGGGCUCAACCUGGGCACUGCAGUUGGAACUGGCAAGCUAGAGUAGGGUAGAGGGGUGUGGAAUUCCAGGUGUAGCGGUGAAAUGCGUAGAUAUCUGGAGGAACAUCAGUGGCGAAGGCGACACCCUGGACUCAUACUGACACUGAGGUACGAAAGCGU